AAUUCCUGUCACUAAGCCACAGCCUACAAAAUACUUUAUCCCCAUCUCCUCCCCAGCCGCAUACUCAUAUGUGUCCUCACGUUCAUGUUUUGCUUUUACCUACAUGCUUGUUCAAUGUCCUGAUACUCACGCUCAGUCUCAGGUACAUGUCCAUACAGCCAAUAGCUUCCUGUACACACACACAUGGUGCAUACCUCGCACACGGCCUUGGGAUAGUGAGAGAUCCGCUGGCCCUCAAACGGUUGGCUGCAGCAUAGAGAGUAUAAAGGUGCUUGCUGUACUGAUUGCUAAAGGAGCCCAGGGAGAGAAGCAGGGUGUUUGAGGAUAGAGGGUUUAGAACUGAAGGCCUGGUCUCUUUGUCCUAGUGCCACAUGUGUCUGCUGCCAUAAGAACGGCCAUACUGGGUCAGACCAAAGGUCCAUCCAGCCCAGUAUCCUGUCUACCGACCGUGACCAAUGCCAGGUGGAGUGAACCUAACAGUAUCUCUGCCAGACCCCAAGGACGGUUCAUAUUGCUGCGGCAUGAAUGUGAGCAGAAUGCUAGAGAGGAACCUCUGCUACGGGGUCUAAGGUGCAGUGGAGCGGUGAAGAGACUUGCCUGAGGCCAUACAACAAGAGCUGAAAACAGAAGCUGUGUCUUCACCUACAACCCUUAUCACUGAAAGCCAUCUGAAUCUGGUGGGACCAUGAGGCUGGUUCUCCAUCAGCCCAG